CGUAGUUUGAUCAGUGGCUACAGAACGACGCUGGCGGCAUGCCUAACACAUGCAAGUCGAACGAAGGCUUCGGCCUUAGUGGCGCACGGGUGCGUAACGCGUGGGAACCUGCCCCUCGGUUCGGAAUAACAGUUAGAAAUGACUGCUAAUACCGGAUGAUGACUUCGGUCCAAAGAUUUAUCGCCGAGGGAUGGGCCCGCGUAGGAUUAGCUAGUUGGUGGGGUAAAGGCCUACCAAGGCGACGAUCCUUAGCUGGUCUGAGAGGAUGAUCAGCCACACUGGGACUGAGACACGGCCCAGACUCCUACGGGAGGCAGCAGUGGGGAAUAUUGGACAAUGGGCGAAAGCCUGAUCCAGCAAUGCCGCGUGAGUGAUGAAGGCCUUAGGGUUGUAAAGCUCUUUUACCAGGGAUGAUAAUGACAGUACCUGGAGAAUAAGCUCCGGCUAACUCCGUG
rnacentral:rRNA from 1 species